UGGGGGAUAUUGCACAAUGGGCGAAAGCCUGAUGCAGCGACGCCGCGUGGGGGAUGAAGGCUUUCGGGUUGUAAACCUCUUUCGCUAUCGAACAAGGCCCGCUUAGGGUGGGUUGAGGGUAGGUGGAGAAGAAGCGCCGGCUAACUACGUGCCAGCAGCCGCGGUAAUACGUAGGGCGCGAGCGUUGUCCGGAAUUAUUGGGCGUAAAGGGCUUGUAGGCGGCUUGUUGCGCCUGCUGUGAAAACGCGGGGCUUAACUUCGCGCGUGCUGUGGGUACGGGAAGGCUUGAGUGUGGUAGGGGUGACUGGAAUUCCAGGUGUAGCGGUGGAAUGCGCAGAUAUCUGGAGGAACACCGAUGGCGAAGGCAGGUCACUGGGCCAUUACUGACGCUGAGGAGCGAAAGCAUGGGUAGCGAACAGG
rnacentral:rRNA from 1 species